rfam:Otolemur garnettii contig175473, whole genome shotgun sequence.
ACAAAGGCUCUUUUAAGAGCCACUUAAAGUGUCUUAAAAGGCUGAG